CGUAAUAGUUCAGUGGAUAGAAUAUCACGUUGUGGCCGUGAAGACCCUAGUUCAAUUCUAGGUUGC
rnacentral:tRNA from 17 species